AUGAAUAUUGCCAGAGUUGGCACCAUUGAUGUGGAUGCUUUUGAAGGACUGUACUUUCUGUUAAUAUCCAUACUAAACAUGCCUCCCACAGCUCAGGAUGGUUGUUACACCUUCUUUUCAAACGGUUCUUAUAACUAUGGUCCCUCUGUUGAUAAAGAGCAUUUCAAACUUUGUUUGUGUGUGUGUUUUUGUUUUUUUGAAACAAACAAAAAAACCACUCCAGAUAAAAUUAAGGAAUCUUGUCUUGUAAUGCACCUACCAUGUUUUUCAUUUGCAAUGAGAAAGCCUUAGGGUCAGCUUUGAAUAUGUGUUUAUUAUAUCUCUUUUCAUGACCUUGCUUAUUUUCUUGAUUGCAUGCAUGAGAAGAUGCAUGUAUGUUUGAUACUUUUGGCAGCCUGUUCGAUCAGCCACCUUUGAUAGCUUAUGAGUCAUGCAUGGGUCCCAGACCACAGUCUGAAAAAGGCUGAUCCAGUUCAGUUAUACACAGAAGUAGGAUGAGUAACAAAACCCCUGCUUAGGGCAUAGGAUUGAGGAGACAGAGCUGAAUUCAUAACUGAAUUUCCUGAUAUUUGACAUAGACACCAGGAAACUGAUUUACCAUUAUGUGAGUCUUUACAGCAAUUUUGGCAGCUUUUUCAAAUGAUUUUCCUUUGUGCAGCCAGAAUGGUGGAUGGGGCCAAAAUGUAGAUGCAAAUCAGAUUCCCCAGCCUCAGUACUGCAUUAGGAGAGCUUUUGGGCAACUGCAAUACCUUGCUUUCUUGUUCUGAUGGUACUAGUAUACAGUUUGGUUUUGUUAUAUUUCUACUUGGUGGUCAGGACUAUAGGAAGCAGCCCAAUACUUAGAACUGAAUGUUGACAAACCAAAAUACCUAUUUCACGCACUGCUCCAGCAAAAACCUGCCCACUCAUUGCUAAACCAUUGCUGCUCUUAUUGGCUAGAGCUGCUGGUAGGCUGCCCUGUUAUGGGUAAACAUGUAAAACGUGAAAAGAGAAAAGACUGCAAUGUGCCAAAUCCCUAACAUAGAUCAAAAUUUGAUUUCCUACUCCAAUGUGAAAGCAGUUGUUUUUUCACGGUUUUGGAAGCAGGAUAUUUGUAGUUUGGUGAACUGCUACUACAUGGAAGGGAAUAUGCUUUCCCACUAUGAUUUUGAUGUACUUUAAAGUGCUUUCUUGAGUAAUCUGAGGCUUUGCCAGAUUGAAACUCAAUAAACAUUCUUUUUAAAAGGACA
rnacentral:lncRNA from 1 species